CCCAUAUAGCUGAAAACCGACCCGUACCCUGUUACCCGAGUAAUCGAGAGAAAAAUUGAUACGGAGGGAGUAGUACUUCAUAAGGACUCAAUUUUGAAAACAGUAUGAAAUUCAAUAGCUGGGAAAUUCGGCAAAUUCCUCAAGAUGCAGGCAAGUGAUAGAUUUAACAUCAAUUCCCAACUUGAGCAUCUUCAAGCAAAGUAUGUUGGGACUGGGCAUGCAGAUUUGAACAGAUUUGAAUGGGCUGUUAACAUCCAACGUGAUAGUUAUGCUUCCUACGUUGGGCAUUACCCUAUGCUUGCCUACUUUGCAGUUGCAGAAAAUGAAUCUAUUGGAAGAGAGCGCUACAACUUCAUGCAGAAAAUGCUGUUGCCUUGUGGCCUUCCUCCCGAAAGAGAAGAUGAUUGAGAGUUUCCAGUGGACAGAAUAGUUAGAAAGUGGUGUUUACAUCUUGCUUCUCUUUCAUUUUUUCCAAAAAUUGUGAUGUGCUUCAGAGAAACCAUGUUGAUUUUGCUUGUCAGAGUGGACAAAUGUUUUACACUUUAGAUGGAUGGAACAGAAUCUAGUCUUGGAAGCAAGGUUUUAUGCGAAACUUGAAGAACGUGUUGGCUUGAUCUCUUUGCGGAUCGUUAGUUUAGCAAGAGUUAUCACCGUGUUUAAUCUCCAUUCUGCUUUAGUUCUUUGUUCCAGUUUUUUGGUGUCGUUUGCAGGGGUAAGCUCAAAUUGUCAAAUAUUUCCUUUAUUAGUUUUCUUUUUAGGGAAAGAAGGGUGACAGUGUGACACUAUCUACAAGCUCAGAUAUAACGGGACUGAUGAUUCAGUAGUCUCAAGUUUUGAUUUGCUUAUAUUUUUAGAGGUCGAAAGUCAUUUUAACACUCUGACAAAAAAAAAACUAAAAGGAAGAAAAUCUAGAAUAUUUUAUAUACGGAAAUAUUUUGUUUUCA